GCCAGUUCGCGUGCAAGGUGCCGGGGUGAUACGGAGGGGGCGAGCGGUGGUAGUAAUUACUUGGCCGAAAGCGCACGUAGGCGGACCAGAAAGUCAGAUGUGAAAUCCCCUGGCUCAACCUUGGAACUGCCUUUGAAAGUCCUGGUCUUGAGUUCGAGAGAGGUGAGUGGAAUUCCGAGUGUAGGGGUGAAAUUCGUAGAUAUUCGGAGGAACACCAGUGGCGAAGGCGGCUCACUGGCUCGAUACUGACGCUGAGGUGCGAAAGCGUGGUGAGCAAACAGGAUUAGAUACCCCGUAGUC
rnacentral:rRNA from 1 species